rnacentral:rRNA from 1 species
GACGAACGCUGGCGGCGCGCUUAACACAUGCAAGUCGAACGGAAAGGCCUGCUUUCCCUUGUGGAUUGCGGGUACUCGAGUGGCGAACGGGUGAGUAACACGUGAGUGAUCUGCCCCCAACUUGGGUAUAAGCCUGGGAAACUGGGUCUAAUUCCCGAUAGGACUGCAGGGCGGUGCCUGUGGUGGAAAACGAUUUUCUAGUGGUUGGGGAUGAGCUCGCGGCCUAUCAGCUUGUUGGUGGGGUAAUGGCCUACCAAGGCGGCGACGGGUAGCCGGCCUGGGAGGGUGGACGGCCACAUUGGGACUGAGAUACGGCCCAGACUCCGACGGGAGGCAGCAGUGGGGAAUAUUGCACAAGGGGCGGAAGCCUGAUGCAGCGACGCCGCGUGGGGGAUGACGGCCUUCGGGUUGUAAACUCCUUUCGACCGCGAGGAAGCCACCUGGUUGGAAGGGUGGUGACGGUAGUGGUAGAAGAAGCACCGGCUAACUACGUG